UACGGGGGGGGGCAAGCGUUUGUUCGGGAAUUACUGGGCGUAAAGGGCUCGUAGGUGGCCAACUAAGUCAGACGUGAAAUCCCUCGGCUUAACCGGGGAACUGCGUCUGAUACUGGAUGGCUUGAGUUCGGGAGAGGGAUGCGGAAUUCCAGGUGUAGCGGUGAAAUGCGUAGAUAUCUGGAGGAACACCGGUGGCGAAGGCGGCAUCCUGGACCAACACUGACGCUGAGUGAGCGAAAGCCAGGGGAGCAAACGGGG
rnacentral:rRNA from 1 species